UGAGGCAGGAGAAUUGCUUGAACCCAGGAGGUGGAGGUUGCAGUGAGCCGAGAUCGCGCCACUGCACUCCAGCCUGGGAAACAGAGCAAGACUCCAUCUC
rnacentral:miRNA from 1 species